rnacentral:sRNA from 1 species
AUACGUUAGGGAUAGUAGCGGCAUCCUUUUUUAUUUUUAAAAAAGAUAUAGCGGAUAGCCCGGCACAAA